rnacentral:rRNA from 2 species
AACGACUCUCGGCAACGGAUAUCUCGGCUCUCGCAUCGAUGAAGAACGUAGCGAAAUGCGAUACUUGGUGUGAAUUGCAGAAUCCCGUGAACCAUCGAGUCUUUGAACGCAAGUUGCGCCCGAGGCCAUUAGGCCGAGGGCACGUCUGGCUGGGUGUCACGCAAC